rnacentral:rRNA from 1 species
CAUUUCUUACCAAAUAUUUAUUCGUAAGUAUCACCUGCUCAAUGAAUUAUUAAAUAGCCGCAGAAUUUUUACUGUGCUAAGGUAGCAUAAUCAUUAGCCUCUUAAUUAGAGGCUAGUAUGAAUGGUGGAACAAUUUAUACUCUUUAUUAAUUUAUUUUUUUUAAAUUUAACUAAGAAUAAAAAUGUUCUUAUAAAUUAAAUAGACGAUAAGACCCUAUUGAACUUCACUUUUGUUUGGCUGGGGCAGCCAAAAAAUUAUUAUCUUUUUAGAAAUUAAAAUUUACCUGACCUAAUUUUAUUAAUUAUUUGAAUAAGUUACCAUAGGGAUAACAGCGUAAUACUUUUCUAAAGCUCUUAUUUAAAAAAAUGAUUGCGACCUCGAUGUUGAAUUAAUGAAUCUUUUAAAAUGCAAUAAUUUUAAAAGAAGGUCUGUUCGACCUUUAAACCAUUAC